UGGGAGGAUUUUAUUCUUCACGUGUGAGUCUUAGUUUUAUUACUCUUUAUGAACUCAUACUGGUCGAAGCAGCACGUGGUGAUGAACCAGGAAGUGAUGCAGCUCUCAGGUCAACACAAACAGCUGUUUAUAGCUCGUGCUAACUGGACUUUGUUUACAAAAAAACAAAGAAAACAGGGGAAAAAAUGGACAAUCAAAAAAGUUGUUUUAUUUGAGAUUUGCAAAAAAAAAACAGCUAUGUGGAAAAUAUUUUUGGGGGGCGGAGUAACAACAGAGACAUGGAGAUCUUCAUCGGUUUAGGCGGCACCCUCUUAACGCCCCGUAAAGGUGGGAGACUCCUUGUCCUUGCGGCAGGAAGUCCCCAAAUCCUAUGCGCCAAAGGCGACCUGGGCAGAUCCAGCCUGCCUCUCAGGACCUGAGGCAUUGUUGCUAGGCGGGAAUGCCCCGCUCCUCCUCCUGCUCCACCCCCCGCUUCAGCCUACUCUUCGGCCCCCACUCCAGUCCCCACUCCAGUCCCCGCUCCAGCCACUCCACACCCACUUCCCUGGACAUCAGAAUUUUUUUUCCUCCUUUUCACUUUUAGUUUUAGUCCCAAAUAAAGACACUGUAUUCACCGA